rnacentral:rRNA from 1 species
UACGAAGGGUCCAAGCGUUAUCCGGAUUUAUUGGGUUUAAAGGGUGCGUAGGCGGGUUGUUAAGUCAGUGGUGAAAUCUUGCAGCUUAACUGUAAAAUUGCCAUUGAUACUGACGAUCUUGAGUACACUUGAAGUGGGCAGAAUAUGUCAUGUAGAGGUGAAAUUCUAGAGAUGACAUAGAACACCGAUUGCGAAGGCAGCUCACUAAAUUGUAACUGACGCUGAGGCACGAAAGCGAUGGGG